rnacentral:pre_miRNA from 1 species
UUUCCCAACUACAUCUAUUAAUAUUUAUUUUAACGUCGUAUUAAAGUUGAAGUUUGGAAAAU